CCUACGGGAGGCUGCAGUGGGGAAUAUUGCACAAUGGGCGCAAGCCUGAUGCAGCCAUGCCGCGUGUGUGAAGAAGGCCUUCGGGUUGUAAAGCACUUUCAGCGGGGAGGAAGGCGGUGAGGUUAAUAACCUCAUCGAUUGACGUUACCCGCAGAAGAAGCACCGGCUAACUCCGUGCCAGCAGCCGCGGUAAUACGGAGGGUGCAAGCGUUAAUCGGAAUUACUGGGCGUAAAGCGCACGCAGGCGGUCUGUCAAGUCGGAUGUGAAAUCCCCGGGCUCAACCUGGGAACUGCACUCGAAACUGGCAGGCUAGAGUCUUGUAGAGGGGGGUAGAAUUCCAGGUGUAGCGGUGAAAUGCGUAGAGAUCUGGAGGAAUACCGGUGGCGAAGGCGGCCCCCUGGACAAAGACUGACGCUCAGGUGCGAAAGCGUGGGGAGCAAACAGGAUUAGAUACCCGGGUAGUC
rnacentral:rRNA from 1 species